UGCGUAGGCGGUUUGAUCAGUCAGUGGUGAAAGUUUGCAGCUUAACUGUAAAAUUGCCAUUGAUACUGUCAGACUUGAGUACAGAUGAGGUAGGCGGAAUGUGUAGUGUAGCGGUGAAAUGCUUAGAUAUUACACAGAACACCGAUUGCGAAGGCAGCUUACUAAACUGAAACUGACGCUGAGGCACGAAAGUGUGGGGAUCAAACAGGAUUAGAUACCCGAGUAGUCC
rnacentral:rRNA from 1 species